AAGAAUGCGAUAUGCAAUGUGAAUUGCAGAACCACGAAUCAUCGGAUCUUUGAACGCAACUGGCGCUAGCCAUAGCAUACUUGCUUCAGUGUGCGCAAACACUUAAAACAACCUAAAUGUGGGAGAAUUUCUCCUAUUAAAUAUAUGCUCCUUGCAGCAGUCACAUUUUUGUGAGCUACAAGAGACUAAAACACUUUAUAUGCACCUGAAGUCAAGUAAGAUGACCCGCUGGACUUAA
rnacentral:misc_RNA from 1 species